rnacentral:rRNA from 1 species
UACGGAGGGAGCUAGCGUUGUUCGGAAUUACUGGGCGUAAAGCGCACGUAGGCGGCGAUUCAAGUCAGAGGUGAAAAGCCCGGGGCUCAACCCCGGAACUGCCUUUGAAACUAGAUUGCUAGAAUCCUGGAGAGGUUAGUGGAAUUCCGAGUGUAGAGGUGAAAUUCGUAGAUAUUCGGAAGAACACCAGUGGCGAAGGCGACUAACUGGACAGGUAUUGACGCUGAGGUGCGAAAAGCGUGGGGAGCAAACAGG